rnacentral:rRNA from 1 species
GACAGAGGGUGCAAACGUUGUUCGGAAUUACUGGGCGUAAAGCGUGUGUAGGCGGCCAGGUAAGUCGGGUGUGAAAGCCCCGGGCUCAACUCGGGAAGUGCACUCGAUACUGCUUGGCUAGAGUCCGGUAGGGGAGCGUGGAAUUCCUGGUGUAGCGGUGAAAUGCGCAGAUAUCAGGAGGAACACCAGCGGCGAAGGCGGCGCUCUGGGCCGGAACUGACGCUGAGGAGCGAAAGCGUGGGGAGCAAACAGG